GUGGGUAUGGCUCAGUAGUAGAGCGCAUGCUUAGCUUGCACGAGGUCCUGAGUUCAAUCCCCAGUACCAUUA
rnacentral:tRNA from 1 species